UACGGAGGGGGCUAGCGUUGUUCGGAAUUACUGGGCGUAAAGCGCACGUAGGCGGCUUUGUAAGUUAGAGGUGAAAGCCCGGGGCUCAACUCCGGAAUUGCCUUUAAGACUGCAUCGCUAGAAUUGUGGAGAGGUGAGUGGAACUGCGAGUGUAGAGGUGAAAUUCGUAGAUAUUCGCAAGAACACCAGUGGCGAAGGCGGCCUCACUGGACCCGGUACUUGACGCUGA
rnacentral:rRNA from 1 species